rnacentral:rRNA from 1 species
GAUGAUAUCUCUAGACGGACAAUCCUGAAAGGGAUUAAAGGAUUUAUCCGGUGAUGGAUGGGGAUGCGUCUGAUUAGCUUGUUGCGGGGUUAACGGCCCACCAAGGCAACGAUCAGUAAGGGGUUCUGAGAGGAAGGUCCCCCACAUUGGAACUGAGACACGGUCCAAACUCCUACGGGAGGCAGCAGUGAGGAAUAUUGGUCAAUGGGCGAGAGCCUGAACCAGCCAAGUAGCGUGCAGGAUGACGGCCCUAUGGGUUGUAAACUGCUUUAUAAGGGAAUAAAGUUAGUCUCGUGAGACUUUUGCAUGUACCUUAUGAAUAAGGACCGGCUAAUUCCGUG